GCCAUGGUUCAUCUGUCUUCAUCUCAAAUUAAGGAUAAGUUGUUGGAAAUUAUGGCUGGUACUGUGAAGUGUGUGGCCACUUCUCAGUAGGCCUUAGGUUUUUUUGGUGGUACUGUGAAUAUAUUUAGUUCCAAAGUACUAUAAUGGGCAACGAAGAUAGCACCUAGAUCUGCAGGCAAUGCUGAAGAGGUUCUUGUGUAAUAUUUUUGAAAGCAUUUUAACAUUGAAAAAUAGUAACCAAAUUUUGAAUUGUCUUGAGCGUGAGCUGUCCAGCAUGUUGGACUGAUCCCAUUAAUCUUUUGGCUAUCACAUUUCCGUAGGAGUUCGUGUUCAGAUGAUUGUCUACCCUGAUUUGUGUUUCAAGUUUGUCCUUCCCAGGGGUAUGUCCUCCAUUUCCUAAGUGUAACCUACAUUCUUGAGAUCAAAUAUAGAGAGCAUUCAUUGCUUGUGUGCACCUGCUGGCAGACAACAUCAUAUUUCAGUAAGUGAUGUAACGAGGUAAGUGCUAUCUAAUUGUACCUGUUGUGUUUGUUUGCUGUGUCUUAAUGUAUACCAUGAAAUUUACACCACUAAGCAGGCAUAUUUGCUUCAUGUGUCCUCCACAAUUCUUGAUGUUGUACUUCCGCAGUUACUUCAGAUGAUAAACUUUGGCAUGUUCAGUUGUUUUUAUUCAUUUCCUAUACUUCAAAUGAAUUACAUUGCAUCUAAUGUCUCAGUUAAAACUAAUGCUUAGCUGUCGAUUUAAGUGUUGUGUUUGCUUGUUGUUUUUUUUUACUAUGAAUUUUAGGAGAUCCUGAAUUGUUUUGAAGGAAUAGUCAACUAGGACCUAUUUCUGAAUGGCUGUUUUUUCAGAAAGUACAUUCUUGAUCAAUGAUAUUUUUUUGUGGGUAAGUGUUUGUAAUCUGUUGCUAGAUACUACUGGUGUGUUACCCUUGGAGCUGUGUGACACAUUACAGUGUAGCUGAUGCUAUCACACAGUCUGUUACUGGAAAUAGAAGAAUUUGCAGUGCUGUUCUUCAUUGGUCCUUCUUUUCCUAUUUUAUAAACUAUGAUUUUAAGAACUUUGAUAUAUCUCUGCCUUUGGAGGAGCCAAAUAGUCUGAAUUCUCUAAUUUAAGAGAAUUCAGAAAUAGAGAGAAAUAUUGCUAUUACUAAUAAUCUGUGUUUUUUUCAUUGUUCCAUCUUAAAAAUAGGACCUAAAUAACAUCUCUAAAUGCUUUCUUACCUAAACUAGAACUAUAAUGAAAGCAUUAUAAUCUGGCAUUACUGAAGAAAAGUAAACAGACAAAGAAUACAUCAGUGUCAAUUGCCAUUUGUGUGACAGAUUUGCACCAGCUGCAAUCAUGCUCAUCAACUUAUUAAAAAAUAAAGGUAGGUUAAGCAGAUGAUAGUCUAAUGCUCCAUUAUUUAAGUUUUUUAAAGUAUUUUAAUAUCCUUGUUUGUUCAAGGUGCACAUUUUAUUGGAAUUGCAUUCCUCAAAUCUCUGAUAAAAAUUACCUAAUGAAAAAUGCCUUCAGUCAAGAAGCUUUUGCCUUCGUUCUGGGGAUGAGCAGUUUAACCCUAAUAUUAAGGAAGAGGCCAAGGUUUUCUGUUACGAGUUGUAACCAGAAAACACAGAAGUCUGAGAUACUCCUCAUGAUAGCCACAGUCCAGCAGUCUUGAUGCACGCUAACCUGGACAAACAUAUUACAAAGUGACACCGUUAACAUCUGUGUUUCAGGCUCCCUUCAGGUACUGAAAGGCUGCAAUGAGGUCACCCCGCAGCCUUCUCUUCUCCAGGCUGAAUAAGCCCAGCUCUCUCAGCCUGUCUUUGUAAGGGAGGUGCUGCAGCCCCCUGAUCAUCUUCGUGGCCCUCCUCUGGACCCUCUCCAACAGCUGUCUUUCUUGUACUGGGGGCUCCAUACCUGGACACAGUACUCCAGAUGGGGCCUCAAAAGAGCAGAGUGGAGAAGGACAAUCACCUCCCUGUUCCUGCUGGCCACCCUUCUCAUGAUGGAGCCCAGG
ensembl:lncRNA